AGCAGAGGUGGAGGGGAGGGGCAGGGAGAGCUAGGGAGUCCUGGACUCCCCUAACGAGUCACCCAGGGUACCUUUCCCAGAAGUCUAGAUGGAUGCCAGUAGCCCCCUGUCCAGACAGGGAGGUGAUAACAGCUCGCUUUGUGUGGGGAGUGGAAAACAAAGGCUCGCUAGGAUUCGCGGGAGCCUGCGCUGCCCUGGGGCUCCUGGGACCAGCUGGCACCUGGACGGCGGCUGUGAAAAAACACUGGAGGCAGGACUCAGCUGAGCUGCAACCUCGUGAGCUCAAGCGGGGGUCACCCCUAGCUGAGGUUACGGCUGAGGGAAUGGGGUCAUCCUCCCUGGGAGAACCUGAGCGGCGGCGCGGGGACGCGGACAAAAGCCCCUUUGUGGAGGCUGAGAGUCCCUCGACGGCGCCACCGUGUGGCAGCGCCGGACAGCGGCAGCGGAGGCCGCGGCGGAUCCCAGGGCUGUCCCGCGCCCACCCCGACCUCCUCCGGACCGGCUGGGACAGGGUGGCAUUGCAUUUCAGAAUCCGCACCCGUAACGAACGCAUCCUCAGGAAGAUGAGAGGUCUGCUGCUUUCCCACGUCCACCUGCUCCCACAGGCCACUUCAGCCAGGCACUGAGAUUUCAUGGCACACAAGCCACGUCGACUGUCAAGGCUCCAAAGGUGAAUGUGUCCCAGGGCCUCUGCCCCCAAGGACCCAGGGCCUAGCAGGAGAGACCAAGGGUGGAAGAUGGUAGGACUGAUCACUGGAUGUGGUGCGAGCAGCCACGUGAAGGACGGGAAGAGGCAGCUGUGAUUUCUCAGCAUCAAGCCCUUGGACUUGCAGGGCACCUGAUGGAGAUGAGAAGGGAGUGGACCUUAUCUCUAGUUCAGAUCAUUUCACUGUAGCUGAGACUCAUAUCAACUGCCAACUCACUCCCUCCACUUGAAUGUUGAGGAAACGCAAGGAGACUGUGGACUUCAUGCUGUUCUGAGUGUUAAGAAACUCCAGUGACACUGAACCCCCGCCACAAAGGAGGAUUAGAAAUAACCUCACAUCUACAUAGGAAAUUCUUUCCCAACGCGGCUGUGGACUCUGUAGGUCUGUGGGAGGAAGUGAACUCAGGAUCUUCCUCGUCGCCAUCUUCAACUGGAACCAGCAGAAGGAAAGAGAAGAAAAUCAUCCAUGACAAGUAGUGGCUGUCAGAAAGGCAGUUCCAUGCUCAGGGGAAAGCGAAAUCUCCCGCCGUCAAAGCAGCAUAUCGCAGCUCCAAGUACACUUUUCUUCUGGAAGAAAAUUGGAAAGACUGAAAUGAGCUCACCCAUCAGCAUUACCCCAUGCUUCCUUGUCUUUGUGGUAUUUUACAGCUCUGCAGGUUAUAGAAAACUGCUAGGAAUACAAGUAAUUCUUGUCCAUAGAAAACAAAUAGAGUUUGGUGGAACGUGAGGUCACCCUAUGGCAUCUAUUUGUGAAUUCCCUCUGGCACCUCCCUGAAUAUAAGUGUGGGCAACUGUGAGUCUCCUUUGGACUGGUUACAUAGUGUGCUAUUGCUCUCCUGAGUAAUUAAUGAGCUAAAUAGGACAUUUCACAAGUGUUUAUUUUAUAUUUGUGUCAGAGUCAUGAUUUUACAUUUUUUGAAAGAUUUUAUUUAUUUGAGAGAGAGAGUGUGUGUGCAUGAGUGGGGAGGCAGAGGGAGAAGCCGAUGACUGACUCCCCACUCAGCAGGGAACCCGCUCCCCAACGAGGG